UCCGGUUGAUCCUGCCAGAGGCCGCUGCUAUCCGGCUGGGACUAAGCCAUGCUAGUCUAGGGGCUUGUACUCCUUCGGGGGUGCAAGCACCGGCGGACGGCUCAGUAACACGUGGACAACCUGCCCUCGGGUGGGGGAUAACCCCGGGAAACUGGGGCUAAUCCCCCAUAGGUGAUGGGUGCUGGAAUGCCCCAUCUCCGAAAGCGCUUAGCGCCCGAGGAUGGGUCUGCGGCGGAUUAGGUAGUUGGCGGGGUAACGGCCCGCCAAGCCGAAGAUCCGUACGGGCCAUGAGAGUGGGAGCCCGGAGAUGGACCCUGAGACACGGGUCCAGGCCCUACGGGGCGCAGCAGGCGCGAAACCUCCGCAAUGCGGGAAACCGCGACGGGGCUAGCCGGAGUGCCGAUGCCUCGCAUCGGCUGUCGGGGAGCCUAAAAAGCUCCCCACAGCAAGGGCCGGGCAAGGCCGGUGGCAGCCGCCGCGGUAAUACCGGCGGCCCGAGUGGCGGCCACUAUUAUUGGGCCUAAAGCGUCCGUAGC
rnacentral:rRNA from 1 species